rnacentral:rRNA from 1 species
CAGACGGGGGACAGCAGUGGGGGAGAGGGCACAAUGGGGGGAACCCUGAUGCAGCGACGCCGCGUGGGUGAAGAAGCGCCUCGGCGCGUAAAGCCCUGUCAGCAGGGAAGAAAAUGACGGUACCUGAAGAAGAAGCCCCGGCUAACUACGUGCCAGCAGCCGCGGUAAUACGUAGGGGGCAAGCGUUAUCCGGAUUUACUGGGUGUAAAGGGGGCGCAGACGGCGAUGCAAGCCAGGAGUGAAAGCCCGGGGCCCAACCCCGGGACUGCUCUUGGAACUGCGUGGCUGGAGUGCAGGAGGGGCAGGCGGAAUUCCUGGUGUAGCGGUGAAAUGCGUAGAUAUCAGGAGGAACACCGGUGGCGAAGGCGGCCUGCUGGACUGCAACUGACGUUGAGGCCCGAAAGCGUGGGGAGCAAACAGGAUUAGAUACCCCUGUAGUC